UUGGGGUGACAAGAGGACAAAGCUUAGAAGACUUAAUGGGCUGGGUUUUGGAAGUGGAUGGAAACAUUUGCAGCUAUACCAAAUGGGUCAUGGAUCGGGUUGUGUCCGGGUCGCUAUAAAUAAGAGUUGUUUGUAAUGAUUCUUCAAGAUUCGGUCACAUUUUUACCAUAUUUUGUCCCUCUUUCUUUCUCUAAAAACUCUCUGAAGUUGUUGUAGAUCUAUGGUUUCCGGUAAUUGUUCCAUAUAGAUCUUGUCAAGUCUUCGAUCAGAUCAUCGUAUUCAUCUUGAUCUGACUUGUAGAGUUUGGUGAAUCUUUUGUUUUAAUAAAAAUUUAGUUGAUUGCUUGUUGUUACAAGUCUCUGAGUACCAAAUUUCACAUGGUAUCAGAGCCUCAUGGCUUUGAUCGAUUCUGCUUCUUCCGCUGAUAUUGAGAGUGGGUUGUCGUCUUGGUUUAAGUCUGGAACCCUAAAUAAUUGAUGUAUAGGGUUUGCUUCGAAUCUGUUUAUAGAGAAAUUGUCAUCGGCUGAAAUUUUAUUAUCCGACGUAUUCUUGGUUUUAUUGACCACUCCCACAUCUAGGGCUUCAACCAGUAGGUAAUUAUUAGCCACGAGUUAGGAUUUUCUGAUCGAAGGAUUUCUCGGCUGAUUACAGUUUCGUCCAUAUUUUAUCGCUGUGUAAAUCUUGUCUUCCGUUGUGGUUACCAUUAAAUCUGGAGGUUUGAAGUUUAUUCUCUAUGUCAAAUAAUGAAGGAUGCUGGAGUUGAUAUGUGGUUUUGGUGAUUUAAUUAAGAUUGUGUGUGUAUCUCUGUUCAAGAUAUGUUCAAAUCCAUUCAAGUGAGUGUUGAUCCAAGUCUGAAGGGUUUCUGGGUGGAAAAGGUUUAAAAAGAUCUUGACUUUCUGCAAGAUUUUAUGGUACCAACAAAACCCUAGUAUUGGGUACACGAUCAUAUCAGUCUAUGGCGACUUAAUCGAAGUAGUCUGCUUAUGAAUUCACUAUUAAGGAUGCAAAGAACCAAGAAGUGGGCCAUAGCAAAAGUACAAGGAUCGAGGGGUUGAGAUUCUUGCAUUUUCGUCUUUGCCAAGGUUGACGUAAAUGGCAAAAACGUUGAACCGGUGUACGAUUUCUUAAGGUUAGGUGGGCCAGUAUUGAUCACGGGGAGAGCCACACCCUGUUUUUAUGUGCUGCAUUUCUGUGUUGCGUUCUAUCUGAUUUGGAUCUUGUUGUUAAGUAUUUGAUUAUAUCAGUUUUGUUGUGAGCGCUUGAUUUGUGCAUAGAAUUAGGGUUGUGGUUCCUAUGUUAAGACCUGUCCUGGCACCUUUGAGUGAUGAACCAGGAGUCUCUACACUGACACUGCUUCACCACUUGUGUGCUUGGGAGAGUUGUUCUUCAUUUUAUUGUUCUGCAUGUUUGUUGAUAGUGUAUUUGUAUUUCUUUGUUGGUAUUUUUGCUUGUGUGUAGUUUAUAUAUGUUGGUUCUGA